rnacentral:lncRNA from 1 species
CUGGAGAGUAUAGGGUAUUGUUUUGCUUGUGCUGGCCCCAAAGGGUGUUCCCGGUAAUUGAGUAAAUCUGCCUUUUAAUCCCAAUGUUGUGUUGGAAAGCACUAUGCAUCAUUACCAAGUACACCAAGGUGUUUACAACCUGAGGGCUCAACUCAUUGUGUCAUUCUUUGUUUUCAGGCACUGCAGACAGGAGGCAGCCUUCAUGGAGAGGAGAGUCAGGCGGAGCACAAAGGCCUGGAGGCGGAGAGGAGAGAGAGAGCAGAAAGAGAGAGGAGGAAGAAGAAGCAGAAGGAGAGAGAAGAACAAAGAAAGGAAGGUCCUUUUAUCAGUUUUGGGGUGGGCUAUUGUUUAUUUAUGAGGAGUGAGUUACUUUUAACCUAUCACAGGUCAGAUUGCUUUUAUGGGCCCAGUCCUGCAGACACAGGUUUCAACUUUCCUGGACCACUGUGGCCUUGCAGGGGAGGGAAACCAAAGAUAAGAGCAUGAGGUCAUUUUAGGAGCCAAGAUAUACAGGAGAAUGCAGCCUGUGAGGUGGCGUCACCGCAUACUUUAACAUGAUCAAUUCCCUAACAGCUUAUGCAGGAGACUGUGUCCUUAAAAGUGGGGAAACACACACACACACACACACACACACACACACACACACACACACACACACACAAAGGGAGAGGGUGACCAACCUACAAACCAGGGAGGGAGGCCUGGAGAGUAAGGGAACUGCCUUCCUGUACCUUAGCCUCAGAUCUCCUGAACCUGCCCACACCUUGACCUGUACCUCCGGAAUUGUCAGGUGAAACACUUGUGCUAUUUGAGCCUCCCAUUUGGUGGUUUUUGUGGCAGCCCUAGCAAAUUUACUCAAUAUCUGUUGAGUUAUAAAUUCACCUUACCAAUUGAUAGAAAAUUUUGCAGUUUUACCCUUUGGCAUGGCUAAGGCCCCUUGCAGUUUUAGUACUUAAAUGUUUGCACUUAACAGGGUUGCUGUGGCACUGCAGCAUCUUUGCUGUUGGGCCUUGUCUGGGGUUUUGCCUCCAAGCAUGAGGACCCUGCCCUGGGCAGGCUGGCUCUCCAUGUGCAGCUGGGCUGGUCCCAAGGUCCUUGGUUCCUCCCCAUUCCCUUGGUUCUUCUUAUUUUAACAGCAUUGCUUUUCC